rnacentral:rRNA from 1 species
UGGGGAAUUUUGGACAAUGGGCGAAAGCCUGAUCCAGCAAUGCCGCGUGUGUGAAGAAGGCCUUCGGGUUGUAAAGCACUUUUGUCCGGGAAGAAAUGGCUCUGGUUAAUACCUGGGGUCGAUGACGGUACCGGAAGAAUAAGGACCGGCUAACUACGUGCCAGCAGCCGCGGUAAUACGUAGGGUCCAAGCGUUAAUCGGAAUUACUGGGCGUAAAGCGUGCGCAGGCGGUUGUGCAAGACCGAUGUGAAAUCCCCGAGCUUAACUUGGGAAUUGCAUUGGUGACUGCACGGCUAGAGUGUGUCAGAGGGGGGUAGAAUUCCCCGUGUAGCAGUGAAAUGCGUAGAGAUGUGGAGGAAUACCGAUGGCGAAGGCAGCCCCCUGGGAUAACACUGACGCUCAUGCACGAAAGCGUGGGGAGCAAACAGG